rnacentral:lncRNA from 1 species
CAAGAGAAAUGCCUUUCCAUUUUAUAUAUUACAUUAUUCUUAUCUGUUGAUGCUGAUCAUCAUGAGAGCAGCAUCAAUAAUACAGGGUAAAUAAUAUAUACAGUAAUAUACAGUCAUUUGCAACAAAUUAUAGGAUCCAAAAGGAAUGAGAUAUACAAAUUUGGAAGAAUCAACUUCAUAAAUUUUCCUUCUGUGUUAAAAAUAUUAGUAAAUACCAUAGUGAGACAAGCGAUUUCAGUCAAUCAAUAAAAAUGAAUUAAACAAGCAGUGCAAAUAAGGAAGAUGAGACAAGUAUUAAGAUCUAAACACGCCUUGAAAAGCAUAAAAC